CGGCCGCGCCCACGCGGCGCCUCUCCCGAAGUUGCGGAGCGCGCCGGGCGCGGGGUGCCCACCACCGAGGUGGGAGGAAAAACUCCCCUGGGGGCUCCAUUGGCUUCUCCGGGAGUGACCGCGAUGUUGCCCCAGUCGGAAGACCCGAACCCUGCUGCUUUGCGGUCCGCUUAGGGCCACAGUGAGCAUCCUCUUCCAUUUGGAGCCCCCGGCCGGGAAGCGCCAGGCGGGCCCCUUGGAGUCUGGAUUUUCAGAGGUGAAUUUUCUUUGGUGGAUUCCAACUUGCUGUGUCUGAGAAGCCCGGGCAGCACAGCAUCGCCUGAUCCACGUGUCGCUGGGCACACUCAUUCCUCAGCCGGCGCCUCGCCAGCAAUCGCAUACUCAGGAGGUCAGGCUCAGGAUGGACCAUGAGCUUUCAAAAAGAAAAAAGCUGGAACUCACCAACUGUGCUGCCAAGUGAAUAAGUGUUUCUUUGUUGCAAGUACAGAGUCAAGGAAAAUUACAUUCCUGCAUUAUGUAAUCUAAAACAACCUGUUUACCUACUGUAUUAAUCUAGGUUAUUCUUGAAAGCAGAGCCUGAGACAAAGGUAGACACAUUCUGUUUGGGAAUCUGAUACCAGGGAGCAGGAACAAGAGAGGGGAGUGAAUAUGGGGAAAAGGAAAAGAAAAUACAAGCAAGACCAGGUAGAGUCAUGUUAAUGAUUACAUAAUACAGAACCUUUUCAGAGAUUCUUCUUACACUUUGUCUUAGAUCUAUCUGCCUGAAUGAGGAAAAGGAGAAGCAUUUAUCUAUCAGCAGCCAUCUCCAAUGUGUUGGGAGCUGCUACUAUGGGGCAUUGAUCCCCCAUCCCUCUGUGUUGCAAAGAUGUGAGAGCUUCACAGGUACCACAGCAUCACAUAUUGCUGCAUCAGAGAUGCCUUGGGACAGGAAACUAGACUCUUGGUGCAUGCUUGAAGUGAGGCAGUAGCAGCACAGAGCAGGCUAAAACUUUACCAGAACUGUUCGCCAGAGCUGUGGCUGGAACAGGUUGAAAGAUGUGAGACAGUACACAAGAAGCAUCUUAUAAGCCUAUAUAAUAUGCUGUCGACUUGUCUAAAUCUAUUUCCUUCCUUCUUUCUGCCGUCAAAAUUUCAGUGUCUAGAAUAAGUUUAGAAGAAGCAUUAAAUAGGAAGGUUAAAUAUAUUACCUUCCUAUAUAAACAUGGGAAUUUUAUAACAAUUUUAUAAAAUUUUAUAACAAUUUAACCUUGAGUCAUGUUCAAAGAAAAAAUGGCAUUGGAACUUGGAAAAUUAAAAAGUUAUUCUACUUGAAAAAUUUGACCAUAAGGUGGACAGGCUAGAUAUCUUCUCAUCUCAUACAGUCUCAAACACCUGUGAAUUGCUUGGAGAAAAUGAAGAAAUAAAAUUAACCAUUUCUUGUG